rnacentral:rRNA from 1 species
AAUAGAUACCCCGGUAGUCCACGCCGUAAACGUUGGGCACUAGGUGUGGGACCUUAUCAACGGGUUCCGUGCCGUAGCUAACGCAUUAAGUGCCCCGCCUGGGGAGUACGGCCGCAAGGCUAAAACUCAAAGGAAUUGACGGGGGCCCGCACAAGCGGCGGAGCAUGUUGCUUAAUUCGAGGCAACGCGAAGAACCUUACCUAGGUUUGACAUGUAGGGAAAAGCCGUAGAGAUACGGUGUCCUUUUGGGCCCUACACAGGUGGUGCAUGGCUGUCGUCAGCCCGUGCCGUGAGAUGUUGGGUUAAGUCCCGCAACGAGCGCAACCCUUGUCCUAUGUUGCCAGCGGGUAAUGCCGGGGACUCGUAGGAGACUGCCGGGGUCAGCUCGGAGGAAGGUGGGGACGACGUCAAGUCAUCAUGCCCCUUAUAUCUAGGGCUGCAAACAUGCUACAAUGGCCGAUACAAAGGGCUGCUAUACCGCGAGGUGGAGCGAAUCCCAUAAAGUCGGUCUCAGUUCGGAUUGGAGUCUGCAACUCGACUCCA